CGAGGACGAGGACAAGGACGAGGACGAGGACAGAGAGAGGGGAAACGCGGAGCUCCUUCAACUCGCGUUGUCCGGUGAGAAGUAAGCAAGCAGGAACUGACAGGAGGCUCCGGGAGCCCUCGCCUCCUUUCGCUUUUUUACCUGCCAAUCAAACCGCUAGAAGACAACACCCUGAUCUGGCAUGGACAUACUACAGGACCUACAAGAUCCAGGGAUGAUGGAGAAGCUUUUGCAGCCUUCCAGAAAAUCAGGGUUCCGAAAAGUGGAAGAAAAAAAAUUGUCCAGGAGGAAUCACAGGAAAUAAGAAGGAUAAGCUUGGAGUAUCCAGUCGCCGUGGUAACUGCCAGAAAAAUCCUCCUGAAGUUUGAAGAGGUCAGCUAGCAGGGUCAACAACUCUGGCCUCUUUCUGCGCUCAGCCUGGCAGGCCCCGGCCUGCGGUUGGAGUGUCAAGCGAGGGCUAACCCUGGGAGGUGGGCCAUUCCAGCUCUGAUAUAAAUUUUUUGAGUCAGUUCACGGCUUGGACUCUCCAGGUGGCCUCCAAAAUCGAUGGUGACCUCCUGACCCUGUCUCACGGAGGCAUAGCAUCUAACCCAAGCAAGGGUUUAGCCAAGAAUGACAGCUUUCCAGAAGAUAACCUGGGGAAGAACACAUCCAGAACUAAGAUAUGAAAACAAAAGACAUUUAUAACACUUCCAAAAAAUGAUCCCUCCAUCACCAGCAAAUCACCUGCCUUGACAGGUGUGCCUUCUGCAAUCUUCAUUUGGCUUCUGAUUGUGCGGUCGUAAUUAUCAGUAAGGACAUCGAUUUGGAGCUGGAAUUUGUGCUCUUUGGCCAAGUCAGUAUCCUUCAGUGAAUCUUUAUUUUUGCAUUUCCCUACUUGAGUACAAUUAAAAUGAACAUCUCUUCUCAUUUACGAAUAUGUGGAAGAGCUUGACUAAUUGUCCUGGCAAGUAGACAGACCCCCAAAAGGGCUCUUAGGAGCAAGACUUCAGUGACUCCCAGUGGGACUGGAAAAUCAGCUUUUUUGAUUGUGGGAAGGACAUAUUUGGGGGUUGUUUUGGGCACGACCAAUUUGACAUUCUUCUCCUCCAGGAUGCCAAUAUUUUGCAAAUCUGAAACAGGGACGUGGACUGCAGGCUGUUCGCUUGCAUAUAGAGAUGUCCCAGGUUUAAACCAUCCCACCUUCUGGUGUCUAUUUCAUUAUUAUAGCUGCCUAAUGGUUUAGAACCCUGUAGUUGUGGCCCUCUGAUGAUGUCUUCUGCUCCUCUUCUGUGAAAUGGCCUUCACUGCGUUCUGCUUUUUGAGAAGGAGGCACAUGGAUGAAUUUCUGUACUUUCUAAAGACCCUUCGAUGGAGAACUUGGCAGAAGGGAUGGGAAGAGUUUUGUCAAUGCUCCCGUCCCUUUGGAGAAAAGAUUCAAAAUGGGGGAAGGGGACUGGAGCUCUCAGACCUCGGAGGCUGCAAAAUAGUCCCUCCAUUGCUUUUUCUCAAGAGCCGUAUUUCGUGGCUAUUCCCAAGUCUCUCUGCUUUUCACUUUGCUGUUUCCUCUGCGCUUUCCUAUCUUUUGGUCAUUCCCCAUGAGCUAUGAUAACAUAUAAGGAGCUUAUAGAAAUACUUAUCAAAAUCAGCCGGACACAAUGCUACACUUUCCCUCAUAAUGACAAGCUCCCCUAAUUAUGAAUGACAAGUCAUAAAUUAUGUUUAAACUGGAUUUUCCACUGCAGAUACUCCUCCUGCCACCCAGACAGCCUUAUAAAGUUGCAUUUGUGGCCUUAAUCCCACUUGGAUGGGUGCCCCGCUGCCUGCACUUUCCACCGCUCUGGUCCUUGCGGCUCCUCCAACAAGUGAACAAUCAUUGUUUCUGUACCUUAUUAGGCCAGAGAGCGAAGCGGCUAGUGAUGACAUCGGCAGGCCCCGCAGGCAGGAUUCUGGGCAGACCCAGCCAACCUCCAACAAACCCCUUUUUAUCCUCCUGUUUCUAGGAAGAAUUAUGAUGGUGGUGCCCUGCUGUUGAUCAGUCAAAUCUGUGGUAGGCCUAGAGAUAAGUCCUGUAAGGGUGGUGUACUGUAAGACAGCAGCUCCCAUUCAUUAGGAGUUUGUGUGUAAUAAACCACCAAAAAGAGAGAGGGAGAGAGGCAGCUGCAGAAUCCAGGCACAAACAACACGACCCAUUCUUAGGAGCCAAAAACUUUCUAAUUUGCUGCUGGGCAGCCCUGCUCGGUGCCAUCCUUCCUUCUCCCCCCAGUGGUGCCCUCGAUAUAUUUAGAGUGGGGCUCUAAGGCUCAAGACUGCUCCUUUUGAACCCCCGUUCUUCCCUGCCCACUCCCAUCCCCCAAAGAAAAGUUGCACAUACUCUGACCUAAAAGGAGAAAGGGGAAAAUAAGCAGCGACUACGGCAGCCCUUGUCACUGGAGCGUGCUGGCCUGGGACUUUUAUUCCUGCCAAUUCACUUUUCAAAAACACCAUAGAUUUGAGUUUGCGUUGAACAUUGUUUCAGGGCACUGAUUUCGGGAGGAUGGUACCACCUUCCCGAGGUCCUGGGAGGGGCCCUUGGGGCUGUUUUCCAUCCUGCAUGAGUUUAAUCUCCUUGCUAAUAUCUUCUUUUCAGGCAACAACAGAUUCAAAUGAGUAACAAAGAGAAUUUGGGGAAGGGGACUGCUUCAAGCAAAUAGAAUUCUUGCCUCAGACGCCAAAAGACGCUGCUUUUUUUUUAACUUAAGGGAGGAAACUUUAAUUUCUGUAAUGUACCAGGAGGGAAAAUCACAACUUUAUAGAGUAGCUCACGGAGAGCAAGCCAGACAUUCCUCUGGAGAGGCAGUCGCAGUUUAACAAUUUCCGUUUGAAAAAGGUUUUUUAAAGUACCUGUUGUUUGCACAAAACUACUUGGGCACUGGGGCAAAGGAGCCAAAAAAAAAAAAGUCGGAGAGAUCUUGCCUUCCGGGAGUUUAUAGUCUACUUAGGGUAAGACGACGUGUUGCACAGAUUUAUUCGUUCAAGUAAGAAAUUGUUAACUCCCUAACUUACGUGCCAGGCACUGAGCUGGGCAUUGGGGAUACAAAAACAGUUUCCAUAUCAGUUUCAUUGAUACUAGAUCCCGAGGCAUAGUGUUAGGACAAACCAUUUCAAUUCCAAAGUUUGAUUUGUACAGCACUGUUCAUGAGAGAGAUGGAAGGGUAGAGGAUAGGGUCGAGGGGGAGAGAGCAAUAGUGACAGAGAGAUACAUACUACAUAGAGCACUGGUCAAUACAUAGAGUCAGUACUGAUUGUUGUUUGUCCUUCUUUCCCGAAAAAGACCAUGACCUCAAGGAGGUGAUGCCACGACAUGCAAGUAAAUCGGAGAGGGAGUCAGGAAGACCUAAAUUUAAAUCCUGCCUCUAAAAUUUGCUAGCUGUUCUUUCAUAAAAAAAAAGUCUCUUUUCCUUGCUGAGCCUUAGUUUCCUAAUCUGAAAAAUAGUGAUGACAUUUGUAACAUUUUCCUCACAGCGGGUGUUAUGAGGUUCAAAUCAGAUAAUUAUUCAAAGGACUUUGCAGAAGUUAAAGCGCUACAAAAUGCCAAUUACUCAUUUGCUUAAAAAUCAUCUGUGAUUUUUAAAAAAUGCUGUCAGUUCUUUAAUAAACUUUCU